rnacentral:misc_RNA from 1 species
AAUUCUCAAAAUAAAUCUUUUGUUCAUUCAAUUGGUUUCAUUUUGGACUUGGAGGUCUGCAGAUUCACGUCUGCUCCUCUUAAAUUCAUUAGCUGGAUCUCUAUAGACUUGGUUCCACUCGGCGUGAUAAGUAUCACUCGCUGAGGACACUGUAAAAGGUGGCCAGGAUUGUGGAAGAACUGCUUCUAAUAGUCCAUUCACUUGGACAAUAUACUUUAUG